GAUGAACGCUAGCUACAGGCUUAACACAUGCACGUCGAGGGGCAGCAUGGAGUUUUCUUCGGAAGACUUUGAUGGCGACCGGCGCACGGGUGAGUAACGCGUAUCGAACCUGCCUCAUACUCGGGAAUAGCCUUGCGAAAGUAAGAUUAAUGCCCGAUGUUCUUGGUGUUCCGCAUGAGGCGCCAAGCAACGAUUCAUCGGUAUGAGAUGGCGAUGCGUCCCAUUAGCUUGUUGGCGGGGUAACGCCCCACCAAGGCAUCGAUGGGUCAGGGUUCUGAGAGGAAGGUCCCCCACAUUGGAGCUGGGAGACGGUCCAACCUCCUACGGGAGGCAGCGGGGAGGAAUAUUGGUCAAUGGACGGAAGUCUGAACCAGCCAAGUAGCGGGCAGGAAGACGGCCCUCCGGGUUGUAAACUGCUUUUAGUUGGGAAUAAAACGCGGGACGUGUCCCGCCUUGUAUGGACCAUCAGAAAAAGGACCGGCUAAUUCCGUGCCAGCAGCCGCGGUAA
rnacentral:rRNA from 1 species